UGCAAGAUCUGUGAUGUGGGUGUCAUGGUUUAACCCCCAACUGAAACCAGCUCAGUGGUGAAGGUAUUCCAGGUGUUCUCAGCUUCCCUACUGAUGUGCCACUGCUACACUACAUACAAGUAGCAGCCUGGAUAUAUUGGAACUGGGAAGGACCUAUUUUUAUUUAGAGAGCUCUCUGAAGGCCUUGGAGUUUUUAUUUAUCAGAUACAAGUCCAGUGACUGACAUCUUGGAGUUAAGUAGCAUCUCCUAGAGAGUGGUAGAAUCCCUAAAAAGGAGAUGAAUUCUGCUGAUAUUUGAUGGAUAAGAAAGGAUGAUGGACAGAGGAGACCAGCAAGCAAUCUUGAAAUAUUUAUGCUUGCAUAUUUUUAUCCUGCUUUGGUGCACUUCUGUUUAUAGUUACAGAAAUUUCUCAGCCCCAAAAUGCAGGAGCCAUAUCAUAAUGACUUUACUUUGUGUCAGCUAAUUUUUCUGGGUUUGUUCAGUGUGCCAGCACAAAUACCAUGGAAUGAAUUAAAAGUGUCUGGUUAAAGAUUUUUUUUUUCUUUUGAGGUAAAAGCUUUUGUUCAGUGCCAUGUGUGUUUCUUAUAAAAUCAAAAUAACUGAGGACUGUAGAAGGACUGAAAGUCAUAUUAAGUAAGGACUUGUGGUUUUCUUAUUUUGCAUAUAAAUGUGUAUGUCCGUAUGUAACCUGCAAGGUUUUUUUAAGUGACACACCAUGAAAACUCCUCAAGUUCUUGAGCUGCUUUUUUAAGGAACUUGAUAGAGUUCAAGCAGUCCAGUGCCAGAUCUGCAUAUUUCUCAGACUUUGAAAAUAUGCUUAAAUCUCAAAAGAUGCUGCCAAAUAGCUUCUGAAAAAUCAGUUUAUGCAGCUAACAUGGUGUCAGCAUUAACAGACUUGCUGUUUACCUUUACUCUGUUUAUUUACCUGCCUGGAAAUUGGAGGUGGAUGUCAAGAGGACAAGUUUUUCCUCUUCUUGAGGGAAUUCAAGCUUAAUCUCUCUCAUGUAGAGGGAGUUUCCAAAUCAGGUUAAUGCCCAUGCUGGAAGGAAGGUAACCUUCGACACCAGGCUUUGUGCCAUCACCCUUCCUACCAGUACUUCAGCUUCAGUUUGCCCACAAAAGUGUUCACAGG